rnacentral:rRNA from 1 species
GUACAGAGGGGGCAAGCGUUAUUCGGAAUUAUUGGGCGUAAAGGGCGCGUAGGCGGCCUGACAAGUGGAUGGUGAAAUCCCUCGGCUUAACCGGAGGACUCGACAUCAUGACUGUUGGCUGAGCACGGGAGAGGUGAGUGGAAUUCCCAGUGUAGCGGUGAAAUUCGUAGAUAUCGGGAGGAACACCAGUGGCGAAGGCGGCGACCUGGACGGACACUGACGCUGAGACGCGAAAGCGUGGGGGAGCAAACAGG